AUGCUUCCAGAGCACAUAUACUAAAACUGGCACAAUACAGAGAAGAUUAGUAUGUCCCCUGCACAAAAAUUCCAUGCAAAGUUGUGAAGCAUUCCAUAUUUUU